rnacentral:rRNA from 1 species
AUUGAACGCUGGCGGCAGGCCUAACACAUGCAAGUCGAACGGCAGCACAGAAGAGCUUGCUCUUUGGGUGGCGAGUGGCGGACGGGUGAGUAAUGUCUGGGAAACUGCCCGAUGGAGGGGGAUAACUACUGGAAACGGUAGCUAAUACCGCAUAACGUCGCGAGACCAAAGUGGGGGACCUUCGGGCCUCACACCAUCGGAUGUGCCCAGAUGGGAUUAGCUAGUAGGUGGGGUAAUGGCUCACCUAGGCGACGAUCCCUAGCUGGUCUGAGAGGAUGACCAGCCACACUGGAACGGAGACACGGCCCAGACUCCUACGGGAGGCAGCAGUGGGGAAUAUUGCACAAUGGGCGCAAGCCUGAUGCAGCCAUGCCGCGUGUAUGAAGAAGGCCUUCGGGUUGUAAAGUACUUUCAGCGGGGAGGAAGGCGGUGAGGUUAAUAACCUCGCCGAUUGACGUUACCCGCAGAAGAAGCACCGGCUAACUCCGUGCCAGCAGCCGCCGUAA